rnacentral:rRNA from 1 species
AGAGUUUGAUCCUGGCUCAGGACGAACGCUGGCGGCGUGCCUAAUACAUGCAAGUAGAACGCUGAAGAGAGGAGCUUGCUCUUCUUGGAUGAGUUGCGAACGGGUGAGUAACGCGUAGGUAACCUGCCUUGUAGCGGGGGAUAACUAUUGGAAACGAUAGCUAAUACCGCAUAACAAUGGAUGACACAUGUCAUUUAUUUGAAAGGGGCAAUUGUUCCACUACAAGAUGGACCUGCGUUGUAUUAGCUAGUAGGUGAGGUAAUGGCUCACCUAGGCGGCGAUACAUAGCCGACCUGAGAGGGUGAUCGGCCACACUGGGACUGAGACACGGCCCAGACUCCUACGGGAGGCAGCAGUAGGGAAUCUUCGGCAAUGGGGGCAACCCUGACCGAGCAACGCCGCGUGAGUGAAGAAGGUUUUCGGAUCGUAAAGCUCUGUUGUAAGUCAAGAACGGGUGUGAGAGUGGAAAGUUCACACUGUGACGGUAGCUUACCAGAAAGGGACGGCUAACUACGUGCCAGCAGCCGCGGUAAUACGUAGGUCCCGAGCGUUGUCCGGAUUUAUUGGGCGUAAAGCGAGCGCAGGCGGUUUGAUAAGUCUGAAGUUAAAGGCUGUGGCUCAACCAUAGUUCGCUUUGGAAACUGUCAAACUUGAGUGCAGAAGGGGAGAGUGGAAUUCCAUGUGUAGCGGUGAAAUGCGUAGAUAUAUGGAGGAACACCGGUGGCGAAAGCGGCUCUCUGGUCUGUAACUGACGCUGAGGCUCGAAAGCGUGGGGAGCGAACAGGAUUAGAUACCCUGGUAGUCCACGCCGUAAACGAUGAGUGCUAGGUGUUGGAUCCUUUCCGGGAUUCAGUGCCGCAGCUAACGCAUUAAGCACUCCGCCUGGGGAGUACGACCGCAAGGUUGAAACUCAAAGGAAUUGACGGGGGCCCGCACAAGCGGUGGAGCAUGUGGUUUAAUUCGAGGCAACGCGAAGAACCUUACCAGGUCUUGACAUCCCGAUGCUAUUUCUAGAGAUAGAAAGUUACUUCGGUACAUCGGUGACAGGUGGUGCAUGGUUGUCGUCAGCUCGUGUCGUGAGAUGUUGGGUUAAGUCCCGCAACGAGCGCAACCCCUAUUGUUAGUUGCCAUCAUUCAGUUGGGCACUCUAGCGAGACUGCCGGUAAUAAACCGGAGGAAGGUGGGGAUGACGUCAAAUCAUCAUGCCCCUUAUGACCUGGGCUACACACGUGCUACAAUGGUUGGUACAACGAGUUGCGAGUCGGUGACGGCGAGCUAAUCUCUUAAAGCCAAUCUCAGUUCGGAUUGUAGGCUGCAACUCGCCUACAUGAAGUCGGAAUCGCUAGUAAUCGCGGAUCAGCACGCCGCGGUGAAUACGUUCCCGGGCCUUGUACACACCGCCCGUCACACCACGAGAGUUUGUAACACCCGAAGUCGGUGAGGUAACCUUUUGGAGCCAGCCGCCUAAGGUGGGACAGAUGAUUGGGGUGAAGUCGUAACAAGGUA